GAUGAACGCUGGCGGCGUGCUUAACACAUGCAAGUCGAGCGAAAAUAAUUGAGAGCUUGCUUUUAAUUAUUUUAGCGGCGGACGGGUGAGUAACGUGUGGGCAACCUGCCUUUUACUGGGGAAUAAUCACUGGAAACGGUGACUAAUACCGCAUAAUAUUCUUAGGAGGCAUCUUCUGAGAAGGAAAGGAGAAAUUCGGUAAAAGAUGGGCCCGCAUCUGAUUAGCUAGUUGGUGAGAUAACAGCCCACCAAGGCAACGAUCAGUAGCCGACCUGAGAGGGUGACCGGCCACAUUGGGACUGAGACACGGCCCAA
rnacentral:rRNA from 1 species